GACGAAGAACGUAGCGAAAUGCGAUAAGUAAUGUGAAUUGCAGAAUUCAGUGAAUCAUCGAAUCUUUGAACGCACAUUGCGCCCCUUGGUAUUCCGAGGGGCAUGCCUGUUCGAGCGUCAUUAUAACCCCUCAAGCUCAGCUUGGUGUUGGGGCCUGCUGCACUGGCAGCCCUUAAAAUCAGUGGCGGCGCCAUCUGGCUCUAAGCGUAGUAAUUCUUCUCGCUAUGGAGUCCUGGUGGAUGCUUGCCAUCAACCCCCAAUUUUUCUAUGGUUGACCUCGGAUCAGGUAGGGAUACCCGCUGAACUUAAGCAUAUCAAUAAGCGGAGGA
rnacentral:misc_RNA from 1 species